AUCUUCCACUUUUCACUUUCCUCUUUUGUCCUUCUCUUUUCGUUUCUCUCAUCCUAGAACGGAAGAACGAUGGAAAAUCAGGGUUCUUCCAUUUGCUUCCACAUAUUUCUCGAUCUCUCUCGAGCUUCGGAUCCCUAGCCUCCGUAUGAAGGAAAUCGUGAAUCCUGCAGAAUCCUUGGGUUUCCUGAUUUCAUCGGCUAUUUCAUCAGUUUUUGGAUUCGAUCAGGAUCGGUUUUUUACCCACGAAAUCUAGAGUCUUCUGACCUGGACUGUCGAAUGGAGAGGAUGAAAAGCAACUGCAGGAAAGCGGCAAUGGAGACCCGGCAUCAGCAUUUUCAAGUCGAUCUGGGGAGGAAUUAGUGAAGGAAUGUAUAAAGAGAGGGACCGAGUUGGUUUAAGCUAUUGCGAAUAGUCUUUUCAACUCACAUUCAACUGAAGGCAUAGACGGUCCCAUUGUGCACAUGUUCGCUUCCUGAAACUAAGCUGCCAAGAUAGAAAGCAUGUUUCAUCAUGUAUAUGAGCAUUUGGUAGUGAAACAUGUAUAGUGCUUCACAAUUGAAAAGAAGUGGAAUGGUAGUUUCAAGUGGACCGUAUUUGAUUGAGAAUAAGAUACCGUGCAAUAUCGAUUUUGGCAUGAAUGUUGGGGAUGAGCUGAAGCAGCUAAAGUUGAGUGUUUUAAUCGGUUGUAUAUAUCACCCAGUUUACCUGUUCCUACUGCUGCUCAACAGGGACGAGUUUCACAGCAGGUGAGUGAAAAUUCUGGGUUCUU